rnacentral:pre_miRNA from 1 species
UUAAUGCUAAUCGUGAUAGGGGUUUUUACCUCUGAAUGACUCCUACAUGUUAGCAUUAACA